rnacentral:rRNA from 1 species
UACGUAGGGCGCAAGCGUUAUCCGGAAUUAUUGGGCGUAAAGAGCUCGUAGGCGGUCUGUCGCGUCGGCUGUGAAAUCCCGAGGCUCAACCUCGGGUCUGCAGUCGAUACGGGCAAACUAGAGUAUUGCAGGGGAGACUGGAAUUCCUGGUGUAGCGGUGAAAUGCGCAGAUAUUAGGAGGAACACCGGUGGCGAAGGCGGGUCUCUGGGCAAUAACUGACGCUGAGGAGCGGAAGCGUGGGGAGCGAACAGG